rnacentral:rRNA from 1 species
AGGAAUUGGCGGGGGAGCACUACAACGGGUGGAGCCUGCGGUUCAAUUGGAUUCAACGCCGGAAAGCUUACCGGGUCAGACAGCAAUAUGAAGGUCAAGCUAAAGACUUUACCGAAUUCGCUGAGAGGAGGUGCAUGGCCGUCGUCAGUUCGUAUCGUGAGACAUCCUGUUAAGUCAGGCAACGAGCAAGACCCGUGCCCACAGUUGCCAGCAUACCCUCCGGGGUGAUGGGCACACUGUGGGGACCGCCGCUGCUAAAGCGGAGGAAGGUGCGGGCUACGGUAGGUCAGUAUGCCCCGAAUCAUCCGGGCUACACGCGGGCUACAAUGGUUGGGACAAUGGGCACCUACACCGAGAGGUGAUGGUAAUCUCCUAAACCCAGCCUUAGUUCGGAUUGAGGGCUGCAACUCGCCCUCAUGAAGCCGGAAUCCGUAGUAAUCGCGUAUCAAUAUCACGCGGUGAAUACGUCCCUGCUCCUUGCACACACCGCCCGUCAAACCAUGCGAGUGAGGUCUGAAUGAGGGCACGCUUUUUGGCGUGUUCGAAUUUGGGCUUCGCGAGUGGGGUUAAGUCGUAACAAGGUAGCCUCAGUCAGUCAA